rnacentral:rRNA from 1 species
GAUGAACGCUAGCGGCAGGCUUAACACAUGCAAGUCGAGAGGUAUAGUUCUUCGGAGCUAGAGACCGGCGCACGGGUGCGUAACGCGUAUGCAAUCUACCUUUUGCAGAGGGAUAGCCCAGAGAAAUUUGGAUUAAUACCUCAUAGCAUGUGAGAAUGGCAUCAUUUUCACAUUAAAGUCACAACGGCAAAAGAUGAGCAUGCGUCCCAUUAGCUAGUUGGUAAGGUAACGGCUUACCAAGGCAACGAUGGGUAGGGGUCCUGAGAGGGAGAUCCCCCACACUGGUACUGAGACACGGACCAGACUCCUACGGGAGGCAGCAGUGAGGAAUAUUGGACAAUGGGCGCAAGCCUGAUCCAGCCAUGCCGCGUGCAGGAUGACGGUCCUAUGGAUUGUAAACUGCUUUUGUACAGGAAGAAACACUGGUUCGUGAACCAGCUUGACGGUACUGUAAGAAUAAGGAUCGGCUAACUCCGUGCCAGCCGCCGCUGUAACAC